AAAAGUCAAUAAUUAAGAAAAUCUAAAAAAACUAAACAUUUAAAAUCUAAACAACUAAUUAACGAUUAAAUUAAAUUAAUAAAAAUAUAAAAGUAAAAUAAAUAGUAAGAAAUUAUAAAAAAUUUAAAUGAAAUAGUAAGCAUAAAAAAUAAAAAUAUAGAGAUAUGCUACUCCCAAGUAUUGAACCCAACCCACUAAAGAAAAUGAAAC
rnacentral:lncRNA from 1 species